CGACGUGAGGAACCUGCCUUUCAGAGGGGGACAACAGCUGGAAACGGCUGCUAAUACCGCAUAACAUAUAGGUAUCGCAUGGUGCCUAUAUCAAAGAUUUAUCGCUGAAAGAUGGCCUCGCGUCUGAUUAGCUAGUUGGUAGGGUAACGGCCUACCAAGGCGACGAUCAGUAGCCGGACUGAGAGGUUGGCCGGCCACAUUGGGACUGAGAUACGGCCCAGACUCCUACGGAAGGCAGCAG
rnacentral:rRNA from 1 species